rnacentral:misc_RNA from 1 species
CUGAGUUSAAAAACUCCAACCCCUGUGAACAUAACCUCUGUCGUUGCUUCGGCGGGCACGCCCGCCGGAGGUUCAAAACUCUUAUUUUUUCCAGUAUCUCUGAGCCUGAAAGACAAAUAAUCA